GCGAGCGCCCGGGUGACCUGUACUGGCCGGGCGCGGUUUGCGGACGCUCUCCACUGCCGGCCGCGGCCUGGCAGGCGGCGUGUCGUCAUCUCUUUCGUCACCUUCGUCAUUCUGCUCCUGCGUUCGCAGGGUCCCGGGACACCCGGCCAGGAGGCGCCCCCUAGGCAUCCCAGCGUAAACAAUUGCUUUUAAAACUUCAUUAGGUUUUUGUGUGAACAUAAACUUUCGAUUCAUUUGGAUAAACACCAGGGAACACAAUUGCAAGAUCAUGUGGUCACGUUGACAGCAUGAACCUUCGAUGUGAUGUGAGGAAAAUGGCAUUCUACCUCUGUGUUCUUCCUCCCCAAAAUUUGUAACCACCAUCUAAUCAUGAGGAAAACAUCAUACAAGUCCAAAUUGAGGAAGAUUCUACAAAAUGCCUGAUUAAUAUUCAUCGAAACUGUCAAGGUCAUCAAAAGCAAGGAAAGUCUGAGAAACUGCCACAGCCUAAAGACAAUCCAGGGAAACGUGAUGACUCAGUGGUAUUCGGGGUGGGUUUCUGGAACAGCAAAAGGACAACAGUGUUAACAUCUGGGCCAAACAUCUGGGCAGCAAC
rnacentral:lncRNA from 10 species